rnacentral:rRNA from 1 species
CCUACGCGGUGCUGCAGUGAGGAAUAUUUGUCAAUGGACGCAAGUCUGAACCAGCCAUGCCGCGUGCAGGAAGCCUGCUCUAUGAGUUGUAAACUGCUUUUGUACGAGUGUAAACGCAGAUACGCGUAUCUGUCUGAAAGUAUCCUACGCAUAAGGAUCGGCUAACUCCGUGCCAGCAGCCGCGGUAAUACGGAGGAUUCAAGCGUUAUCCGGAUUUCUUGGGUUUAAAGGGUGCGUAGGCGGUCGGAUAAGUUAGAGGUGAAAUCCCGAGGCUCAACUUCGGAAUUGCCUCUGAUACUGUUCGGAUAGAGAGUAGUUGCGGUAUGCGGAAUGUAUGGUGUAGCGGUGAAAUGCUUAGAGAUCAUACAGAACACCGAGUGCGAAGGCAGCUUACCAAGCUACUUCUGACGUUGAGGCACGAAAGCGUGGGGAGCAAACAGGAUUAGAUACCCGAGUAGUC